rnacentral:rRNA from 1 species
CCUACGGGAGGCUGCAGUGGGGAAUAUUGGACAAUGGGGGGAACCCUGAUCCAGCCAUGCCGCGUGUGUGAAGAAGGCCCUCGGGUUGUAAAGCACUUUCAGUGAGGAAGAACGCCUGGUGGUUAAUACCCAUCAGGAAAGACAUCACUCACAGAAGAAGCACCGGCUAACUCCGUGCCAGCAGCCGCGGUAAUACGGAGGGUGCGAGCGUUAAUCGGAAUUACUGGGCGUAAAGCGCGCGUAGGUGGCUGAUAAGCCGGUUGUGAAAGCCCCGGGCUCAACCUGGGAACGGCAUCCGGAACUGUCAAGCUAGAGUGCAGGAGAGGAAGGUAGAAUUCCCGGUGUAGCGGUGAAAUGCGUAGAGAUCGGGAGGAAUACCAGUGGCGAAGGCGGCCUUCUGGACUGACACUGACACUGAGGUGCGAAAGCGUGGGUAGCAAACAGGAUUAGAUACCCCAGUAGUC